GUUCGCAUAAGCCAGUGGUCGAGCUCCGCGUAAGCGGGUGGCGAUGGUUCGAAUCCAUCUGUGGACU
rnacentral:tRNA from 1 species